AUGAAAAGUUUAAAUGGCCGCAGUACCCUGACUGUGCUAAGGUAGCAUAAUCAAUUGGCCUUUAAUUGAGGUCUGGAAUGAAUGGAUUAAUACGGAAACUAACUGUCUCUUUUUAGAAUUUGUUGAAGUUAUCUUUAAAGGUGAAAAGGCCUUUAAUAUGUGAAAAUAGACGAGAAGACCCUAAGAGUUUUGAUUAUAGGUAAAGGUUUUUGCUUUUUUUUUUGCUGGGGCGGCAAGGAAACAAAUUAACUUUCUUGGUAAAAUUAACAAAGUUGACGCGAAAUUUUAUGAAGAGCUAAUAAAUUACCUUAGGGAUAACAGCAUAAUUAUUUUAAUGUUUGUGACCUCGAUGUUGGACUAGGAAAGCUUCAAAUGGCUAGCCGCCAAAAGUAUUAUGUUCUGUUCGAACAGU
rnacentral:rRNA from 1 species